rnacentral:rRNA from 1 species
CCUACGGGCGGCAGCAGUGGGGAAUAUUGGACAAUGGGCGAAAGCCUGAUCCAGCCAUGCCGCGUGUGUGAAGAAGGCCUUCGGGUUGUAAAGCACUUUCAGUGGGGAAGAAAGCCUUGGGGCUAAUACCCUCGAGGAAGGACAUCACCCACAGAAGAAGCACCGGCUAACUCCGUGCCAGCAGCCGCGGUAAUACGGAGGGUGCGAGCGUUAAUCGGAAUUACUGGGCGUAAAGCGCGCGUAGGCGGUCUGAUAAGCCGGUUGUGAAAGCCCCGGGCUCAACCUGGGAACGGCAUCCGGAACUGUCAGGCUAGAGUGUAGGAGAGGAAGGUAGAAUUCCCGGUGUAGCGGUGAAAUGCGUAGAGAUCGGGAGGAAUACCAGUGGCGAAGGCGGCCUUCUGGACUGACACUGACGCUGAGGUGCGAAAGCGUGGGUAGCAAACAGGAUUAGAUACCCGGGUAGUC